GAUGAAUUGGGGCGAAUCAUUGAGGCUGACAACAAGAGGUACUCAGACCAACUGAAAGCUCGAUGGGGAAAGUUUUACCAAAAUGCACUGUUCUUUGGAGCGUGGAAGAAGGCAUUGAAACCACCUAUGGGUCUGGAUGAAUCUGCACAGGCCAUUGCCUUUAUGGAGGCACUCCCACAAAUGUUCCCUUCCCCAACCGCCCCCCCGAGAAAACUAAAGUCAGCAAGUGAGGCUCUCUACCAUGUCCUUGAGCCAUCUGAGGACCCCAAUGUCUUUUUGCAAAAAAGGCCGCUUAGGACUCCCGUCAUCCUCAUCGACACAAAAAAUGUGCUUCUGGCAGUUAGCAAUACUCCGGUGAUGACCUUACCAAGGGACAUGCUUCCGCAAUCCCUAAUAAUCAUGAUGGGUUGCUAUUAUGUGUUCCAGUUCACAUAUCCAAAAUGUAUUGCAACACUAUUGUCAAUCAUACAGACAGAGGUACUCAAGGAUGCAAUUCACGAGAGUGACAUGACCACAUCAUAUAAGAAGGUGCUUACUGAUUGGCAAGAAUUUUUCAAAACCUAGUCUGUCUCCCCCUUUGUCUUUGUCAACCUCUCUCUGUAUGUCACUCUUCUCUAUGUCUCUCUCCCUUUUCAUUUACAG
ensembl:lncRNA